rnacentral:lncRNA from 1 species
CUUUGUUCCAAAAGUCUUCACUCGCAAAACAAAUUCAAAGAUUACAUAAUUAAGAGUUUCAAGAUGGCGACUGCAGAGCAGGAAGCCCCAAGGGUGAGGCCCUGUGUGAGGGCACUGGUUGCAUGCCCACGAAGCUGGCCCUACCUGCCACCCAGAGGACGUCAAGGAGCCAAAAGAGCUAAAUAUUUCUACCCCAGAGCUUCUGGACAGACAGGUCACUGUGAUUUCAUUGUUCUUGAAAUAAGAACCGAACCAGAAAACUUGUUGCUCACUGGAAGAAGGGAAGCUCGCAGAAACAGCUCUGUCUUCACAGUCUUCACAAGCCACUGAUCUGAGAAGAAGAAAAUUGGCUAA